AUCGCUUCUCGGCCUUUUGGCUAAGAUCAAGUGUAGUAUCUGUUCUUAUCGGUUUAAUAUCUGAUACAUCCUCCAUCCAAGGACAAUAUAUUAAAUAGAUUUUGGAGAUGGAAUAGAAGCUUGCUCCAUCCGCUCCAUGCAUUAACUUGGUAUUGCAGUACCUCCAGGAAUGGUGCACCCCCU